UCCAGUAUAUCACAAAACCUCAUUGCCU
rnacentral:piRNA from 1 species